GUUCUAGAACAACAGAUGUAUCCAGGCACAUCAAACUGUUUGCAAUAUUGCUUGAGGGUAGAAUAUUAGUGGAAGUUGGAACAUUAUAAUUGGACAAUGGAAAUGACGAUGCAGCCUCACAGAUGAAAUAACUGUGAGGUUGUUUUCCUGCAGUCCCUUUCUUCAUUUCCAAUGUUUCUAUACCUGGAGGUAAAAGGUGGUGAAUGUAAAGGGUCUGAGGGUGAUCUGCACUAGCUUAUUGUAAGCAGACUUACAUGUAGAAGACACCAUGCUGACUAUAAUGGAUGAGGAAGUGCUAGAGCUCUGCACCAUGACUGUCACCAAAACUCCAAUCACCAAACCAGCAACAGGAUUUGACAGCACAGAACCAUCUCGAAAAAUGUCCCCUGCUGCUUUACCUAUAUUCAACAGCCCACUCAAAGCCUAACCUGAUACUUCAUAAGAGUUUUCAUACCUCCUACCAACUGGAAGGCAGAGCUCAGUAUAUCCAAGGAACACACAAAGAAGUAGAGUAGUCCAAGCAAGGCAAUAAACUUUGCUAUCGCUACAUGGCCUUGUCUUGCUUGGAGGAGUCUUCAGUAUAGUUAUUGGGUUGAGAGUUUUCCAACUCAGGCCAAGGAGCCAUGAUCUGACACUAAAAAAAUACAUUGAUUAAUGUUAGAGUCUGAUGAAAACACUCUUCGGAGUACGACAAGAGAAAGGAUUACCUUUAAAAACAACAGAGAGAAAACAACUCAUCCUUGAACUCUGUUCUUUUUUAACCUUAUUUAAUUAAUGCAUUUUAUUUGUGAAACCAUAUUUUAGCUUUACUUGUGAA